AGUUCAGAUUGCAGGCUGCAACUCGCCUGCAUGAAGUUGGAAUUGCUAGUAAUCGCGAAUCAGAAUGUCGCGGUGAAUACGUUCCCGGGCCUUGUACACACCGCCCGUCACACCAUGGGAGCCGGAAAUGCCCGAAGUCAGUGACCCAACCAAUAAGGAGGGAGCUGCCGAAGGCAGGUCUGGUGACUGGGGCGAAGUCGUAACAAGGUACC
rnacentral:rRNA from 1 species